rnacentral:rRNA from 1 species
GNGAAAUGCUUAGAUAUCACGAAGAACUCCGAUUGCGAAGGCAGCUUGCUGGACUGUAACUGACGCUGAGGCACGAAAGCGUGGGGAUCAAACNGGAUUAGAUACCCUGGUAGNCCACGCCGUAAACGAUGAAUGCUAGCUGUUAGCGAUAUACUGUUAGCGGCACAGAGAAAUCGUUAAGCAUUCCACCUGGGGAGUACGCCGGCAACGGUGAAACUCAAAGGAAUUGACGGGGGCCCGCACAAGCGGAGGAACAUGUGGUUUAAUUCGAUGAUACGCGAGGAACCUUGCCUGGGCUUAAAUUGCAGUGGAAUAACGUGGAAACAUGUUAGCCUUCGGGCCGCUGUGAAGGUGCUGCAUGGUUGUCGUCAGCUCGUGCCGUGAGGUGUCGGCUUAAGUGCCAUAACGAGCGCAACCCUCAUCGAUAGUUACUAACAGGUUAAGCUGAGGACUCUAUCGAGACUGCCGACGUAAGUCGUGAGGAAGGUGGGGAUGACGUCAAAUCAGCACGGCCCUUACGUCCAGGGCUACACACGUGUUACAAUGGGGGGUACAAAGGGCAGCUACCUGGCGACAGGAUGCUAAUCUCAAAAACCUCUCUCAGUUCGGAUUGGAGUCUGCAACCCGACUCCAUGAAGCUGGAUUCGCUAGUAAUCGCGCAUCAGCCACGGCGCGGUGAAUACGUUCCCGGGCCUUGUACACACCGCCCGUCAAGCCAUGGGAGCCGGGGGGACCUGAAGUAUGCAACCGUAAGGAGCGUCCUAGGGUAAAACUGGUGACUGGGGCU